CCGCGGGGUCUGUGCGGAAGUGACGCCAAGCCCGUUGGCGUAACAAAGCUGAGCGCGGGAGGCGCUGCUGGCUGACGGCCCUGGGCACGUGCUCCCGGCAGGCUCUGCGCGGCUGCGCACCUUCCACUGCAGAGAGGAUCCCUGGCCCGAGGUGGGCGCCCGAGGCGGCGUUUGAGGGCCCACGAUACACACAUAUGCAAGAUAACCUAAGAUCGCGAAGGAGCCAAGCGACGCUUGCCCGGUUCUCCAGCAGCGAGCGGUCGUGCGUGUGUGCCAGGCUUCCUCCUCCUGGCUCCCCAGCCCGCAGGACAAAGGCUGCGGUGUCGGCCACGCCGCUUAGGGAGACAGCAGUGGCCACGCAACCGGAGAUCCCAGCAGUAGAAAGCGUGGGCAGUGGUCACCUCGCUAGACCCGGGUGGUCAGCACAGGAGAGUCGAGGUUUACAAAGAAAUUCAAGAGGUAAACCAAGUUACAAAAAGGAGGAGGAAGAAGAAGAGGGCAGAAGGCAAUCUUAAAAAUUAUCUCAAAACAUCGAAGCUCACUCAACAGUCACUUCCUGUACAAAGGCCUUCCCAGGUUGGUGUAUCUAAACAGCGCCCCUGUCCUAUGUCUUUUAUUUACCAGCGGUCUCCACCACUAAUUGUAACACAGGGAGGUCAGGGACUUGCCCUGUGGAGUUUACUACUAUGUAUCUAGCACCUGGAAGAGCCUGACGUGUAAUAAAUAUUUAUUGUUGAAUGAAUGAAUGAAUGAAUGAAUGCACAUCUUUCCUAUCCUUAAAGGAGACCUCCCCCCUCAGUGGAAUCACUAAUCAUUGUAAUGUGCAGACAAUCAUGAAGUUACUGAAUUUUAACUCAGAGCUGAGUUUUACAUGGUUUCACUUCCCUGCCCCUUUGCUCACCUGUGUGAGCAACCAGUUGGAACAACCAGUUGGAAUUAGAGCAGCUAGCCGGCCUCCAUCUGGGGGGGAUGCAGGUUCCACAUGGAAUCUACUUGCCUUCCAUGAAUUGACUCCCUCCGGGUUCAGACCCAGUCACAGCCAUCUGAACAUCCCUGCAUUCCACAUCUGCUUAACUGGCACCCCAAGAAAACCACCCUCCUCUGGGUCUCAGGAUUGCUUGUGUCCACCUUUCUCUAGUCGAGGCCUUCAGUGGUCACACCUCUGCAUAUUCUCAUCCAUUUAACCCCCUCCAUGUCUUUUAUGCCAGGGCAGAGGUCAUUUUGGCCUCUAUAACCAUGGAGGAGAUAUCGAUGGGGCCAGCUUCGCCUCUCCCUGGGUGUGUGACUGGGUCAGUGUGCCUGGAGUGGGGCUAAGGUGUAGUUGGGGGAGGUCUUCAUUCUGCAAACGUCUCUCACACAUGGAACAUACUUUUUGCAGCUCCCAGAGGGAGACAGGCCCCUGUUCUGGGAGAAACGGAGCCUAGCAGCUCAGGGGAGAGCACAGCCCUGGCCCAGUACCUGACUCCAGACAGAAGCAGUACUCCAGGGGGCCCAGGGCCGAGGAUGUGUCGCAGAAGAUGGCGAAGCUUGUCAGAACGGUACCCUCCUCCGGAGUGAUGGUGCAGCCUGCUCUCCAUCAACUCCGUGGCCCUGGGCACUAGGAGGCUAAUCUCUGUGGACUGUGUCACCCACAUUCCUGUGCCGGCUGGCUUCUGCUGGCGUCCAGCAAUGGGAGGCAUUGGCUGGGGAUCAGAAGGGUGCAAGGAUGCCACUGCAGAAGGAUGCUUCUGGGGAAAUGAGCCGCCCUUCACCCUGACCCUGAGCAGACCUGCAGGGUCUGUCUGCUUCUUCGGCACCAGCGACCUGCACUGAGGACAGGCAGGCAUAUAGUAGGGGAGGGGGGCGGGGAUAUACAGCUCUGCCUUGGGGAGCAUCCAGGACAGCUUCCUGUCCCUGGUGUACCUCUCAUACCACGUGGAAACAACUGUCCUAAACUGUAUGUCCCUGUGGGUACACUAGGCAUCCAGCGGGCCGUUCUCUCCAUGUGGGAGGACACACGCCAUCUCCUGCUUUAUGAUACUGGCUCAGUAAGUCUCUAUCCCUCGCCCUUCAUCUGUGUUGAUCGAUGUUUACCCAUCAGUCACCUUGCUCCCCCUGCCCCGAAGUUUGGUAGUCAUUCACGGGAUGUGACCUAGGGUCAGGCCAUCAGCUCAACCACCCAAACUGUAUACCUGUAUCCUCUGUGAAUUCAGGUAGUGAAAACUAAUAUUCCAAAGAAUGUCCUGAGCACCUACCAGUGGAUAUCAAAAGGCUCUACAUUUUAUAUGACUUGACCCAGUUAUUCCAUUUCUUGAAAUUUAUUUUUUAUUCUCAAAACUUACUUCUGAAGGUAACCACAGAUGCAGAUAAAGGCAGAACUACAAGGAUGUUCAUUACAAUGUUGUUUAUAUACGGGCAAAUAAUUCCGAAUAACCUACGUGUCCAAAAACAGGGUACCAGUAAAUAAGUGACCAUACAUCAACUUUGACAGUCUAUUCUGCACUUACUCUCUUAUGAAAUCAAGAUAGAGAAGAUACCAUGGCAUUAAAAUAUGGAGGAUGUAUUGUUCAAAGAAAAAAAAGCUCAUAAAAAUAGUAAGUGUGAUAUGGAUGGCAUUCAUUUCCAAAAGAAUGUGUACGUAGCUAGGAUGUAUCCCUAUAAAGCAGGACAACCAUUUCUAAGAAGUGGGUACUGGUGCUGUCCUCGUGGUUUGUCAGAAAAUGCCUCCUCGCUUCUAGACUCUCCCAGUGACAUACCCAGCAAGGGCAAGGAGGUGACAGGAGGGAUCCACCCAAAAGGGAGGAGUUGUUUUGUUUUGUUUUGCUUUGUUUUUAGCACUGAUGUUGUUUGUGGUGAAAAUAAAGCCUAUUGACUUUUAGGGUUAAUUCUCUCAAUGCAUCUCUGUGUUGCUGCCUUUAGGGCUCCCUCUGCCUUGGUUUGCCACUGCUUUCCCCCAACCCCACCCCACCGCCCCCACCCCACACCCACCACCUCCCAUUUCCAUGGGAUUUUCAAUCUCUGGCACAUGCAAAGCACACAAAAUGUCAAGGAUAAGUAAUGCCUGUGUGAAGAUUUAAAAAAAAAAAAAAAAAAAGCAAAGCUGACCUCUAUCCAUUACUUUGUG